UUGUAAUAGCUCGUUAAAAACAUGCAAUCAUUUUUAGUUUACGAUUAGAAGCCGAUGUGCAGUUUAUAUAAAAAAAAAAACAAAUAAAAGAGCUAUAGACAAGAGCACACUGAGUUCGGUUUAUCGCGCCUCGACCGUAGUAAAGUCGACGGAAAGAAGAUGCCAAAAUAAAAAAAAACGCGCGUCAUAGGCGAAUUUUUAUUUGAACCGAACAGAUUCAGUGUGCUCACCGCCUCUAUUUUUCACUAAGUAUUCGAUUUUCAUUAUUAUCGAAACGAAUAUACUAGGUGUUGAAUUCAUAUAUUU